CUCCCCUUUGGAUCCAACCCCUAAAGGAGUUGGGCGUCCUCCAUCUCCAUGCCCAAGAGGAGCUUGGGCGUCCCUUCUUCCUUGCUGAUUUUCAAACCUUGGUUGCUUCAUAAUCAAGAAAAGAAGAGCAAGAGAAGAAGAGAAGAAAAAGAUUAAGAAAAGAAUCAAAGAGUUGAUCGUAAUCUAGACUUCGUUUAGAUUCAUAG
rnacentral:lncRNA from 1 species